AUGAAAUCGGCUCAAUUUCUUAUUUUCUCGAUAAACAUACUUUAGAAAAGAAGAGCAGUGAAUGUCUAGUAAUUCAAACUGAAAUUUGACUGGAUUUUUAUUUCAUUCUUACUUUUCAGUACAUUUAAUAAGAGAAAGGCAAUACUCGCUUUAUCAAUAAACUUUCACAUACAAAUUACAUAUGAACACCUAUUAGUUAUUACAAACCAACAAACAUAUUACAAGUACAACACAAUCCAUCUUCUACUCCCAUAGGAGAGGCCUUCCUAAUUUUCAUGUGAUCAUAGAAGAUCCAUGCUACAUAGUUCUUCUCAUCAUGGUCCGAUCAAUGGUCGAACGGCAGAGAGAGUACGGGAACCACCAGAACAUGUCAUGUUCCAAGUAGCCGGUCCAACUCUCUCCACAUCCCCGUCGAUCAGUUGAUCCGACAUUUAUAAAAACUCUGUAUUCUAUGUUCAUGUGGAUCAUAGUAUAUUCUCCCAAAUCUGUACACCAAGAAGGUAGAAAGCAUCACCUGAGAUAUCUUAGUGUUGUGCACCUUUUUCAUAACAACCAAGCCAACAUGUAAAUCAAUAAUAACCCUCAUGUACCCUCUGUGCAGUAGCUAGGAAGCCAAGACCUCAAAGCAGUGGCCCUUACGAUCAUAAGUCGUCAAAACCAAGUGUGGCUCAGACCCGUCCGAGUUACUGCUAGUCGGCCCAUAUGUAGGAUUAGAAUCCAAGACCAUAGAUUUGCAGGCCUUAUGCCAUAACCAAAUUAGCUAACAAAAGUUCACUUUGUGGGGUUGCUGGAAGUGUUUACAGGCCGCGACCAUGACCUCCUCCGGCGACUUGAAGGAUGUUGGGGGACUGGCCUCAUUCUUGCACGCCUUCGAGAAGGUCUUUCGCACCCAUGCGAAAAAUAACGCAUACCACUUUCGCUCAGCGAAACCCAUCUGUGUGUGUGUGUGUGAAGUGGGCACUUUGGUCUGUGUGUGUGUGGAGUCUUAAAAAGGCAAUGAAUUAGUUGUUGCACUAAUGUAUAGGGGUGAUAGUAGAGGGGGUUAUAGCAAAGAUUUGAAGAGAGAGGGGAGUGUUUUGGUGAUUAGAGCUGAAGAAGCUAUUAUAUCUUGGAAUGUCUUAGCC
rnacentral:lncRNA from 1 species